GUAGGCGGUUUGUCGCGUCUGCCGUGAAAGUCCGGGGCUUAACUCCGGAUCUGCGGUGGGUACGGGCAGACUAGAGUGCAGUAGGGGAGACUGGAAUUCCUGGUGUAGCGGUGAAAUGCGCAGAUAUCAGGAGGAACACCGAUGGCGAAGGCAGGUCUCUGGGCUGUAACUGACGCUGAGGAGCGAAAGCAUGGGGAGCGAACAGGAUUAGAUACCCUGGUAGUCCAUGCCGUAAACGUUGGGCACUAGGUGUGGGGGACAUUCCACGUUUUCCGCGCCGUAGCUAACGCAUUAAGUGCCCCGCCUGGGGAGUACGGCCGCAAGGCUAAAACUCAAAGGAAUUGACGGGGGCCCGCACAAGCGGGCGGAGCAUGCGGAUUAAUUCGAUGCAACGCGAAGAACCUUACCAAGGCUUGACAUGAACCGGAAUGAUGCAGAGAUGUGUCAGCCACUUGUGGCCGGUUUACAGGUGGUGCAUGGUUGUCGUCAGCUCGUGUCGUGAGAUGUUGGGUUAAGUCCCGCAACGAGCGCAACCCUCGUUCCAUGUUGCCAGCGGGUUAUGCCGGGGACUCAUGGGAGACUGCCGGGGUCAACUCGGAGGAAGGUGGGGACGACGUCAAAUCAUCAUGCCCCUUAUGUCUUGGGCUUCACGCAUGCUACAAUGGCCGGUACAAAGGGUUGCGAUACUGUGAGGUGGAGCUAAUCCCAAAAAGCCGGUCUCAGUUCGGAUUGAGGUCUGCAACUCGACCUCAUGAAGUUGGAGUCGCUAGUAAUCGCAGAUCAGCAACGCUGCGGUGAAUACGUUCCCGGGCCUUGUACACACCGCCCGUCAAGUCACGAAAGUUGGUAACACCCGAAGCCGGUGGCCUAACCCCUUGUGGGAGGGAGCCGUCGAAAGGUGGGACCGGCGAUUGGGACUAAGUCGUAACAAGGU
rnacentral:rRNA from 1 species